UGGCUCCGGCAUCGAUGAAGAACGCAGCGAAAUGCGAUACGUAAUGCGAAUUGCAGAAUUCAGUGAAUCAUCGAAUCUUUGAACGCACAUGGCGCCCUCUGGUAUUCCGGGGGGCAUGCCUGUUCGAGCGUCGACCCCAUCCACGAGCCCGGCUCGGUCGUGGGGGCCCAGCGCGCCGCGCUGCUCCCGAAAACGAUGGGCGUUGCCGCCGGGACCCGAGGCGCGUUGAGACACCGUUCGUCACGUGAUCCCGCGGCACCGGCCCGAGAAACCGCCCCGGGGUAGGCCCAGGCCGUUCCCCCCCCGGGGAUGUACCCGAUGACCUCGAAUCAGGCAAGGAUACCCGCUGA
rnacentral:misc_RNA from 1 species